rnacentral:lncRNA from 1 species
GAUUUCAUCAUCCAAAAUCAUUCAACAAAAUCAUCCAAAGAAAAGUGAGUGGCUAUGAAAUACUCUCCAAUAUAUAUUAUUAAAAUAGAGCCCUCUAUUAAAAUAUUAAAAUCACAUAUGAUAGAGUCUACCUCACCGCUUAUCUCUGCUGAGAAUGUCCGUUGCUUCUUCCUACGACGACUACAGUCCCAACAACUUGUUCUAACAUCUUACAGUUCAUACAAAGACAAAGAUCGAAAAAGAAGUUGAUCCUAAAACAAACAUGACGGAGGAUCGGGAUGAAGAGAAGGUUCCAUCGUUUGUAAAAUAUUCUCCAAACUAUUGAAAUCACUGCUGUCUGCCGCAUAUCUCUAAACCCUAAUAUCAAAUAUCUGAACACCACUUAUAAAGAAAGCUUCACGAUGGUCAGAUCUUUGGUUUCAUUCUUAACCGUUGAGAUUAAAAUCCAAUUUCAGGUAACCCACUGGGUCAAAAUGCUGCCCGAUGGAUAAAUCAACCCAACAACAAAUAUAUAAACAACUGAAAUCUAGCGUAAUGUCUCAUUCUACUUUUUCAUUCCGUAAGAGUUACUUUUUCUCCUCUUUGAUUCUGUUAUUGCUGUUCUUGCUUAUUGGAUUGCAUUCCAGAUUUUCUUCUGUAAAUUCUAAUCUGGUAAUUUCUUUUAAUUUUCAG